CUUCAAGGACCCCAGCCACAGGGGGCGGUCCUCCGGCCGGUCCUGCCCAUACGUGGCGAUGAGCGCGUCCGCCUC
rnacentral:antisense_RNA from 1 species